rnacentral:rRNA from 1 species
CAGUCGCCGCGGGAAUACGAAGGGGGCUAGCGUUGUUCGGAUUUACUGGGCGUAAAGCGCACGUAGGCGGAUCGAUCAGUCAGGGGUGAAAUCCCAGAGCUCAACUCUGGAACUGCCUUUGAUACUGUCGAUCUGGAGUAUGGAAGAGGUGAGUGGAAUUCCGAGUGUAGAGGUGAAAUUCGUAGAUAUUCGGAGGAACACCAGUGGCGAAGGCGGCUCACUGGUCCAUUACUGACGCUGAGGUGCGAAAGCGUGGGGAGCAAACAGGAUUAGAUACCCCGGUAGUCCCUGUCUCUUAUAA